rnacentral:rRNA from 1 species
UACAGAGGGGGCAAGCGUUGUUCGGAAUUAUUGGGCGUAAGCGCGCGCAGGCGGUUUCUUAAGUCUGAUGUGAAAGCCCACGGCUCAACCGUGGAGGGUCAUUGGAAACUGGGAAACUUGAGUGCAGAAGAGAAGAGCGGAAUUCCACGUGUAGCGGUGAAAUGCGUAGAGAUGUGGGGGAACACCAGUGGCGAAGGCGGCUCUUUGGUCUGUAACUGACGCUGAGGCGCGAAAGCGUGGGGAGCGAACAGGAUUAGAAACCCC